AACGCACGAGACCUGCGGACCUGCGGAGGGAUCAUUAAAAAGAUCGACCCAACAUAUGGACGAUCAAAUCCAUAUCCACCUUGUGUGCACUUAUUGACCGUUCGCUUUGGCAGGAGUUGUCUUCGAUCCGGCCCAACCCCUAAAAUUUAUUAGGGAGGGGGAGGGAUCGAAGCGGCGAGGGGGAAUAGUCCACCUCGGCCUGCCAGAGUUUUUCCCUUUAAAAGGGAAAAGAAAUAUCCA
rnacentral:misc_RNA from 1 species